rnacentral:rRNA from 1 species
GAAUUGACGGGGGCCCGCACAAGCGGUGGAGCAUGUGGUUUAAUUCGAUGCAACGCGAAGAACCUUACCUACUCUUGAUAUCCAGAGAACUUUCCAGAGAUGGAUUGGUGCCUUCGGGAACUCUGAGACAGGUGCUGCAUGGCUGUCGUCAGCUCGUGUUGUGAAAUGUUGGGUUAAGUCCCGCAACGAGCGCAACCCUUAUCCUUUGUUGCCAGCGGUUCGGCCGGGAACUCAAAGGAGACUGCCAGUGAUAAACUGGAGGAAGGUGGGGAUGACGUCAAGUCAUCAUGGCCCUUACGAGUAGGGCUACACACGUGCUACAAUGGCAUAUACAAAGAGAAGCGACCUCGCGAGAGCAAGCGGACCUCAUAAAGUAUGUCGUAGUCCGGAUUGGAGUCUGCAACUCGACUCCAUGAAGUCGGAAUCGCUAGUAAUCGUAGAUCAGAAUGCUACGGUGAAUACGUUCCCGGGCCUUGUACACACCGCCCGUCACACCAUGGGAGUGGGUUGCAAAAGAAGUAGGUAGCUUAACCUUCGGGAGGGCGCUUACCACUUUGUGA